UACGGGGGGGGCAAGCGUUGUUCGGAAUUACUGGGCGUAAAGGGCUCGUAGGCGGCCAACUAAGUCAGACGUGAAAUCCCCAGGCUCAACCUGGGAACUGCGUCCGAUACUGGAUGGCUUGAAUCCGGGAGAGGGAUGCAGAAUUCCAGGUGUAGCGGUGAAAUGCGUAGAUAUCAGGAGGAACACCGGUGGCGAAGGCGGGUCUCUGGGCCGAAACUGACGCUGGAGGAGCGAAAGCGUGGGGAGCAAACAGG
rnacentral:rRNA from 1 species